rnacentral:rRNA from 1 species
GACGAACGCGGCGGCGUGCCUAAUACAUGCAAGUAGAACGCUGAAGGAGGAGCUUGCUUCUCGGAUGAGUUGCGAACGGGUGAGUAACGCGUAGGUAACCUGCCUGGUAGCGGGGGAUAACUAUUGGAAACGAUAGCUAAUACCGCAUAAGAGUAGAUGUUGCAUGACAUUUGCUUAAAAGGUGCAAUUGCAUCACUACCAGAUGGACCUGCGUUGUAUUAGCUAGUUGGUGAGGUAACGGCUCACCAAGGCAACGAUACAUAGCCGACCUGAGAGGGUGAUCGGCCACACUGGGACUGAGACACGGCCCAGACUCCUACGGGAGGCAGCAGUAGGGAAUCUUCGGCAAUGGACGGAAGUCUGACCGAGCAACGCCGCGUGAGUGAAGAAGGUUUUCGGAUCGUAAAGCUCUGUUGUAAGAGAAGAACGAGUGUGAGAGUGGAAAAGUUCACACUGUGACGGU